rnacentral:rRNA from 1 species
UACGUAGGGAGCAAGCGUUGUCCGGAAUCAUUGGGCGUAAAGCGCACGUAGGCGGCUUUGCAAGUUAGAGGUGAAAGCCCGGGGCUCAACUCCGGAAUUGCCUUUAAAACUGCAUCGCUAGAAUUGUGGAGAGGUAAGUGGAAUUCCGAGUGUAGAGGUGAAAUUCGUAGAUAUUCGGAAGAACACCAGUGGCGAAGGCGACUUACUGGACACAUAUUGACGCUGAGGUGCGAAAGCGUGGGGAGCAAACAGG